rnacentral:snoRNA from 1 species
UCUCUCCAGAUUCCUAACCCAGCAGAUCUAAAGAUAGGUCUCAGUGGCUAUAAAAGGUGGGAAACUAAAACUGAAAUGGACUUGAAUUCUUUUGUGACACACAAAUUGUUUUCAAACAAAA